rnacentral:lncRNA from 1 species
AUGGAUGGAUGCAAGUACCGGUGGUGGGGAUUACGAAGGGGGUUGCGGAUGUUGUCUUGAAGAUCUUCUUGACGUCUUCGAGAAGCGUCUUUGUCAGAGCGGGCACGGCGGGAGAUCGGUAGUCCUCGUUAUUGCGGUUCAUCGCCCGAAUCACCGGCUCGGGGAUGUUCACCGGCCCCGGCACGAACAGGUGGUUUCUCCCAGGUCCAUACACAUAAUCCAUCUUCUUCUUCUUCUUUUUUCUUUCUUUCUCUUUUUUUUUUUUUUUAACUUAACCUGUGAGAAAAUACACCCUGCUUGCUUUUAGGGCCCCGAAAAUACUACUUUCGAACAUGGUCCCUAAAAAUCAAAGUUUUUUUUUUUUUUUUUUCCCCAGAUAGAUAUUAAAUGGGAAAUGGAACCAAUUGAGUGGCUUAAGCGCGUGACGGAUACGUGUAAUUUCUAAUAUUUAAUGGGGGUAAGACGGAAAAGGCCAGCGUUCCAUUCGUACCGAAGGAAAAAGAAGAGGACUUUUUUUUUCUCUCACUCUCUCUCUCUCUCUCUCUUUUUUCCUUUGUUUGUGAGGUCCUCUUAUACGCAAAGUGGAAAGAGACGGAUGCGUCAUGGCCGCCACGUGUUUUUUUUUUUUGUUUUUUUACAAUGAGUCGCUGUGAUGACGAUCUUCGAAAAAUGAAAUCAAGUGCAAUUUGGAGGCAACUGUAUUUAUCAAACUACUAUUAAAACAAAUAAUUGGUUGUUAGCUUAGAAGAGUUUUUUUUUUUGNGUGGAUGGAUGGAAGUACCGGUGGUGGGGAUUACGAAGGGGGUUGCGGAUGUUGUCUUGAAGAUCUUCUUGACGUCUUCGAGAAGCGUCUUUGUCAGAGCGGGCACGGCGGGAGAUCGGUAGUCCUCGUUAUUGCGGUUCAUCGCCCGAAUCACCGGCUCGGGGAUGUUCACCGGCCCCGGCACGAACAGGUGGUUUCUCCCAGGUCCAUACACAUAAUCCAUCUUCUUCUUCUUCUUCUUCUUUUCUUUCUUUCUCUUUUUUUUUUUUUAACUUAACCUGUGAGAAAAUACACCCUGCUUGCUUUUAGGGCCCC